UUAAUGUAUAAUUUUAUUUAUUGAUGCAUGUUAUUUGAAAUAACAGACCCGACGAUUAAGGUCAUUCUCUGAUGUUGAUAAUAGCCUAGAAUCUUUGCUGGUUUUUAGUGGCAACAACAGUGUACAUGGUUUAUAUGACCUCUUCCUAAAUUACAGAUUUCUCUUGACCUCACUAUCCGGUGUGGACGUACCUGUCUUGUGUUCUCCUGUGCCAUUUCAAAAUUCUGCCGUUUCUACUCCUGAUAUUAAAUGCAUGGAGACAAGAAGAGCUGAAGACAUUGCUGCUUCUUAUAACGGGUCUAUAUGGAAAGAUGGCGAGUCUGCACGAGGAUCAUCAGAUGGCCUUUGUACCAUUGAAAUUAAGAAUGCACUAAUUCCACCUUGGUUUAUUUGUGAUAUAUGUGCAUUGAUGGCCUCUGAAGGAAGAAGCUUUGAGGCAAGGUACGAAUAGCCUUUG